rnacentral:rRNA from 1 species
GUGAGGAAUAUUGCGCAAUGGGGGCAACCCUGACGCAGCAACGCCGCGUGAGUGAUGAAGGCCUUUGGGUCGUAAAACUCUGUCCUUGGGGAAGAAAAAAAUGACGGUACCCUUGGAGGAAGCCCCGGCUAACUACGUGCCAGCAGCCGCGGUAAUACGUAGGGGGCAAGCGUUAUCCGGAAUUAUUGGGCGUAAAGAGUGCGUAGGUGGUUUUGUAAGCGUAGGGUGAAAGGCAGUAGCUCAACUAUUGUUAGCCCUGCGAACUGUGAGACUUGAGUGCAGGAGAGGAAAGUGGAAUUCCUAGUGUAGCGGUGAAAUGCGUAGAUAUUAGGAGGAACACCAGUGGCGAAGGCGACUUUCUGGACUGUAACUGACACUGAGGCACGAAAGCGUGGGUAGCAAACAGGAUUAGAUACCCGAGUAGUCC